ensembl:lncRNA
GGCGCGGCCGGGCGGGGCUGGACGCCCGCGGUUUCGCUUGAGUUGGACUCCUGCGCGCUCCCACCGGAGUUCGGGGGCGGCGGGGGAAAGGCCUGCGCCCUGCCGCGCGGGAAGACGAUUCCCGGCGACCGCCCGAUCCCUCGCCAGCGUCGUGGGGUAGGGCCUGUGGGGGCCUGCCGCUUCGUCCACAGUCCGUCGUGAGGCCGGCAGCGGACACGUGCUCAUCCCACUGGGAGGCCCCGGGCAGCCCGGAGGACGCGCCUAGGAGAGAAAGGGGGUUUGGGAGAAGCCCGAGGACCCGUCCCGCGACUGGGCGCGCCCUAUGCAAAUGAAUGGGCGGGGCCCUCGUGCUGCUGAACGAGGGGCAAACCAGAGAAUUUGGCAGUCCGAUUGGGGGGGUCCCUUCAGAGACCCACAGGCUGGUGGCAUCGGCGUGGAGUGCCCAGGUUCACAGUGCAGCUUGUGGCUCGUGUCCCUCUUGCAGGGUGUUCUCCUGCGUCUCCGUUUUCUUCAGCUUGGCCUUAUCGAAGCUGGCGAUUUCCCCCAUGUGUGGUUUGUCUGCCAUUUUCUUAAAACAAUCCGUGUAGUCGGGUUCCGAGCCCAUGAUCCUGGUGCUCCCACUCGCGUUGCUGCAGCAAGAGACCAACUCAUUUACUUUAAAUGAGUGAAUUGUGUGCUAUGUGAGUGAUGUCUUAAUAAAGCUCUUUAUAAAAAAAAAAUGUAAUAAAAAAAGCCUCCUUUUCCUCAAGGAACUGACGAGCUUGUGGGACAGCAGAGUUAAGAAGGUGGCUGCCAGUGGCCGCUGGUCAUGCCUGUAAUCCUAGAGCUUUGGGAGGCCUGGAAGGAUCACUUGAGGCCAGGAGUUAAAUAACAGCCUAGGUAAUGUAGUGGGACCCUGUCUCUACAAAAGCUGUAUUUAAAAAAAGAGUUAACAAGGAAGUAAUACAACUUCAAGUUGUGGCAAACCUUUCCCUCACAGCUACUCCUUCUUUCUUCACGCCUCAAGAUGGAAGAUGUACCUUGCUCCUUGCCACAGCACUUACUUAACUAUAUUUUAAAUUGUCUUUCUCUGAACAGUACGAUCCUUUAGGUAGGAACAAGUGUGUCGUUGAACUUUGGGUCACCAGGGCUAGCGGCAGUGCCUAGCACACAGUAGGCUUAAUAGUUGUUUGUUGAAUGGUGAAUAAAUGAGAGAGCCAGAACUGGAACUUGGGUGUCCCAAGACCCAGACCAGAUUCCUUCCAACUACACCCAAUCAUAUUGACGUCAGAAACGAAUGCUUUCCAAAUCUGACGGCUAGCCAGAGAGACGUCUACAACAAAAACAGUUGCGUUUUCUACAAGCUGUCAGUUUCCAGGUGUAUGUUUACAUUUUACACUGUAAAUGUAAUUUUGCUGUUUCCAUUAAUUAUGCUAUGUCCUUUGAAUAAUCGUUUCACUCACCUGAUUUACAGCUCUCUCCCUUGAGUUCAUCACAUAGCACCAGCUUUGCUGUCAUCUUUAGCAUCCUGCAAUUGCGACUUCUCACCCACUUGGCUGGUCAACACUGAGUAGGGGGCUUUCUGGCCUAUGUGCACAGGGUUUCAAAGGCCCAGAUUUUAGAGAUUUGGUUUUUCACUUACCAAGAAGCACAGAGUAGAACUAUAUCAGCAAAGGUUAUGUAGAAAAUUAUAUUUUUCACGGCCUCUUGAGAUUUAACUUUGCAACAAACGUUCCGUACUACUUUUAACAAUCAGCUUUAUUGGCUGGGUGCAGUGGCUCACACCUGUAAUUCCAGCACUUUGGGAGGCCAAGGCGAGUGGAUCACCUGAGGUCUGGAGUUCAAGGCCAGCCUGGUAAACAUGGUGAAACCCUGUCUCUACUAAAAAUAGAAAAAUUAGCCAGGCAUGGUGGCGAGCACCUGUAGUCCCAGCUACUUGGGAGGCUGAGGCAGGGGAAUAACUUGAACUUGGGAGGCAGAAGUUGCAAUGAGCCACAAUCGCACCAUGGCACUCCAGCCUGGGUGACAAGAGUGAGACUCAGUCUCAAAAAAAAAAAAAAAAGCUUUAUUGAGAUAUAAUUCAUAUACCACAAAAUUCAAUCAGUUAAAUGGUACAGUUCAAUGGCUUUUAGUAUACACAGAGCUGUGCAACCAUCACCACAAUCUGAUUUUAGAACAUUUUCGUCACUUCAAAAAUAAACCCAUACUGGUAGCAUUCACUCCCCAUUCUUCUCUCCCCUACUCUUGACCCUAGCCAACUACUAAUCUACUUUUUUUGUCUUUAUAGGUUUGCCUAUUCUGAAUAUUUCAUAUAAAUGGAAUCAUAUAGUAUGUGGAUUUUUGUGACUGGGUUCAUUCACUAAGCAUGUUUUCAAGGUCCAGCUAUGUUACAGCAUGUAUCAGUAUUUCACUUCCUCUUAUAGCUGAAUAAUAUUCUAUGAUAUGGAUAUACCAUAUUGGGCAUUUGGUUGUUUCCAUUUUUUUGUCUCUUAUGAAUAAUGCUGCUGUAAACAUUCACAUAUGUUUCUCUACUACUUUUUAAAUCAUAACUUUGUUUCAAAAAUUCCUCCACUCCUCUGAUGCUCUUGUCUCUCAGUAGGCUCUCCAGUAAUUUACAAAGUUCUUCUAGGUUUUUUAUAAUUGAUUAUUAAUGGUUAUCAAAGGCCUAACGUUUACCUGGCAGUAGCUUUCCUGUUACUGUAAUUAUUACCAAUAUAGAAAAUAUUUCACUGAACUAAUGAAAUAACUGUAUCUCCGAUGACAUUUUGUGACCUGUUAAAAGAUGCCAAGGAAGGCUGGGUGCGGUGGCUCACACCUGUAAUCCCAGCACUUUGGGAGGCUAAGGUGGGAGAAUCACUUGAGGUUAGGAGUUUGGGACCAGCCCAGCUAACAUAGUGAAACCCUGUCUCUACUAAAAAUACAAAAAUUAGCCAGGUAUGGUGGCCCACUCCUCUAAUCCCAGCUACUCAGGAGGCUAAGGCACAAGAAUCGUUUGAACCCAGGAGGCAGAGGUUGCAGUAAGCCAAGAUCACACCACUGCACUCCAGCCUGGGCAACAGAGUAAGACUGUUUCAAAACAAAACAAAACAAAACAACAACAACAAAAAGAUGCCAAGGAACCAUGUUCUUGGAGAGUCUUAUCUGCUAAAGACUGUGCACUGUACUGUGAAGACAAGAAUUAGGACACAGUCCUUGUCCUCCAGGAUCUUCUGUUCUGUUACAGGAGACAGUUGUAGGGGAUGCAACUCACCCAGUCUUGGUGGUCAGGGAAGGCCACUGUAGGCAGGAUGGUACUGCUGGGAGUUAGCCAGGAAAAGAGCCAAGAGAGCAAAGGCAAACACAUGAGCAAGGGCCCAGAUGUGAGAGGAGC